CCUCUAGGAAGUGCAGGUGGACUGGGGAGAAUAAAACUUUUAUAUUUUACCUGGUAGCAUCCUGAAUUUAGCUGCUAGAUAAAGAUAUUAAGAUAAUUGCUGUGGGGACUUCCCUGGUGGUCCAGUGGUUAAGAAUUCACCUUGCAAUGAAGGGAUAUGGGUUCAAUCCCUGGUCUGGGAAGAUCCUACAUGCUGUGGAGCAACUAAGCCUGUGCACCACAACUACUAAGCCUGUGCUCCAGAGCCCAGGAGCUACAGUUACUGAAGCCUGCGAACCCAGUGAAGCCUGCGAACCCAGUGAAGCCUGUAAACCUUCUGUUGUGCUCAGCAACAAGAGAAGCCACUGUAGCGAGAAGCCCAGGCCCCGCAACUGGAGAGUAGACCCCCUCACCUCAACUAGAGAAAAUCCGAGCAGUGACAAGGUUCCAGCACAGCCAAAAACAAAUGAUGGAAAGAAGAGAUGGACGUGAGGGUCUCCAUGCGUGCAUGCUGCACGAUAAGUCGUCGCUUCGUGUCUGACUCUGUGCAACCCCAUGGACUGUAGCCCGCCAGGCUCCUCUGUCCAUGGGAUUCUCCAGGCAAGAAUACUGGAGUGGGUUGCCAUGCCCUCCUCCAGGGGAUCUUCCUGACCUAGGGAUGGAACCCACAUCCCCUUUAUCUCCUGCAUUGGCAGGAGGAUUCUUUACCUCUAGUGCCAGCUGGGAAGCCCAAUGAGGGUCUCCAGAUCCUGCUAAUUUGUCACACGUGUACUAACCUUUCACCUCAAUACCCCUUCCUUUCUCCUAAUGACAACUAUCUGCUUGGUCGUGUGUGACAAAGCUCUCCAUAUCUACUUUAUGGAUGAGGUUUUGAUACUCAGAAUGCUUUGAUCUUACUCCUCCAGGACAAAGAAGGAAGUUGAAUAAUUCCGAUGACUAUUUCUUGUCUUCAUUACAUAUUUUUUACAACUAGAUACGGCUUCUAGGGAAAAGAUAAUGUCUGUCCAGCUGCACAUUUGUUGCCCAUAAUUUGAUAAUCCGUGCGGAAAACAGAAGUUGGCUGAUGCUGACUCCACAGCAGGGACAUGUAGGGUAAAAAGCAGACGAACUUCAAAGGCCUUGGUUAGAACUUGGCUCUAAUGCUUGUCAUGUGACUCUUUCGACCUUUUCUCAAGAGUUUUACAAUCUGUGAAAUGAAGCAGUUGGACUGUAAUCUUGGAAAUCUUUCCAGCUCUAACAUUCAAUGAUCAGAACUUUAAAUCUGGUGCAUGUUUUUCAAAAUUUGGAACCUUAGUUUCCACUCUUUGAGAAUUAACUGGGGAAGUUUCAUAGGCUCAAAAAAAUAACCAGUAGUUAACUGUUCUGCUUGUGCCCUCCUUCUGCACGUAUUUAGCUGCUUCUCUACAUGUACUGGGCAGACUGAUGCUGGGUUACAGGCACAGUUUGAAUGUGUCAUUUCAUAAAACUUUGGUAAGAAUGUAAA
ensembl:lncRNA